UAGGGAAUCUUCGGCAAUGGACGAAAGUCUGACCGAGCAACGCCGCGCGAGUGAAGAAGGUUUUCGGAUCGUAAAACUCUGUUGUUAGAGAAGAACAAGGACGUUAGUAACUGAACGUCCCCUGACGGUAUCUAACCAGAAAGCCACGGCUAACUACGUGCCAGCAGCCGCGGUAAUACGUAGGUGGCAAGCGUUGUCCGGAUUUAUUGGGCGUAAAGCGAGCGCAGGCGGUUUCUUAAGUCUGAUGUGAAAGCCCCCGGCUCAACCGGGGAGGGUCAUUGGAAACUGGGGGACUUGAGUGCAGAAGAGGAGAGUGGAAUUCCGUGUGUAGCGGUGAAAUGCGUAGAUAGAUGGAGGAACACCGGUGGCGAAGGCGGCUCUCUGGUCUGUAACUGACGCUGAGGCUCGAAAGCGUGGGGAGCAAACAGG
rnacentral:rRNA from 1 species